rnacentral:piRNA from 2 species
UAAUUAUUAGAACCUCCUCCCCAUGUGCCA